rnacentral:rRNA from 1 species
CCUACGGGUGGCAGCAGUGAGGAAUAUUGGUCAAUGGGCGAGAGCCUGAACCAGCCAAGUAGCGUGAAGGAUGACUGCCCUAUGGGUUGUAAACUUCUUUUAUAAGGGAAUAAAACGACGCACGUGUGCCUUUUUGUAUGUACUUUAUGAAUAAGGAUCGGCUAAAUCCGUGCCAGCAGCCGCGGUAAUACGGAGGAUCCGAGCGUUAUCCGGAUUUAUUGGGUUUAAAGGGAGCGUAGAGGGGUUGUUAAGUCAGUUGUGAAAGUGUGCGGCUCAACCGUGAAAUGGCAGUUGAAACUGGGAGACUUGAGUACAGGUGAGGUAGGUGGAAUUCGUGGUGUAGCGGUGAAAUGCUUAGAUAUCACGAAGAACCCCGAUUGCGAAGGCAUCUUACUAGACUGUGACUGACGCUGAUGCUCGAAAGUGUGGGUAUCAAACAGGAUUAGAUACCCGUGUAGUC